rnacentral:lncRNA from 1 species
CUAUAUAUAUAUAUGAAUAUAAUUUAUUUAAUUUUAUUUCAUGUGCAUUGGUGUCAGAUCCCCUGGAACUGUUACAGACAGUUGUGAGUUGCCAUGUGGGUACUGAAGAUUGAACCCAUGUCCUCUUGAGGAGCAGACAGUGCCCUUAACCACUGAGUCAUUUCUCCAGUCUCCACUCACAUUAUCAGAGUUCUUUCCCAUAGCCUUAAGGGCUGUCCUGAAGGUCUCGGUGUUUACCAUAUUGCUGAGACAUUAGACACACCCUUGCUUCCCGGAUUCAUGCUGCCUCUGAUUAUCAUAGAGUCCUUGGCAGAGAGGACAUUCUCCCAAAGGAGGAAUUUAAAGUAAAAUAUACAAACAAGCCUUGUGCCUAGCAAUCAUCAACACGUGUAGAGGCCCACACCCUGCUGGCACUGUUCCAGGGGCAGGAAAUCAUGUCAUACCAUCCUUUCCACAUGGCCAUGCAAGACUCAGCACUCUACCCCUCCCAUGGUCCCAGUCUGGAUAACUCAUGCUCGUACACACCUGUACUUACUUCUACAGCCUCCAGCAAGUCAUUCUAUAAAAAAUUUGAAGCAACUUAAAAAGAUAAUGAUGAAACAAAUGGAUUGACUAGAUUCUAUGAGAGGGACAAAAUGUGCAGAUCUCAAUGGGGUUAAGAAGACAGGGUUGGACCCUGACCAUCUAUGCUGUGACCAGAGAGGCUGUCCUCAGGAGCUGAAAGGCACAGCCUUGGCCAACUCUGAGACUGAGAAAGGUGCACUGAGAAUCAAUGGGAGCAGAUGGUGUGGGCGGUGCCAUCUCUGAGAAGGAACUUCCUUAGGUAACACAAGCAUGGUGGCCAAUAAAGGGUGAGGACAAAUCAUAAAUUGGCAGAAAUGUCUGAGGAGGAGGAAGGGGAAGAAGGGAAAGGGGGAUGGAGAGGGAGGGAAAGUUUUUGUUGCUAGUUGCACUGGAAUAUUGUUAGACCCAGUAGGAAAAGGACUAUUUUGAAUGUGAUUGAUAAAUAGAUAGAUGUGAUGCCCUCUUUGUGGGCAUCAAGGCUGAUUAUUAUCCACCCUCAGGACAGCCCCCAACCCAGGGAGCACAGUGCAUCUGACUUGUGUGGCUCUGACCUGCAGAUGGCCUGGACCUCAAUCUCAGCCCUGCCACUUACAAGCUGUAUGAUGUUGAGCAAGUUGCUUAACCUUUCUGUGCUGCACUUCCCUCAUACAAUUUCUAGUUCUCCACCUCAGGGCUGGCCUGACUCCCUCAGCUGUGAGUCAGGUAAUCCAGAAUCUCCCUACAGGCUGCAAUGUUGUUCAGAGUGGCUAAGCAAGGUUGGGGGUAAAGCAUCCUUGUCUCGACUGUCUAGGGUAGACAGAGCUCUCAGUGGUGUCUGGUCAAGCCUCCCUCUCAGUCUGGGAUGCCAGUAGACACACCCCUCCACAAUGUGGAUGAUCUAUAAGCCUCUGGGAGCACUUAGUGGGGGCAGUCAAAGAGCACCUUCUUCCAGCAGACAUUCUCUUAAUACAAUCGAUUUUACUUUGGAGCAAAGGGGCAUCUCAGGGUUUCAGGUCCCACAUGGAGGUUUCUCAAGACUCACAUGACAAUUGUAGGGGUUGGUAGUAUAAAGACACAAGGUGGGAGCUGGCAACAGAGGGUGCCCAGUCCUCAGCUGGAAGACUUUUGCCUUUCAAUAACUUCAUCUCCAGGAUUUAGUCUCAAGAUGUUUACAUGUGGAUGUUCAAUGUAUCUAGUGGACAUAUAUACCCCAGGGCAUUUGCAGCCUGCUCUAUGAUCAGGCUUUAGGAGGUAUUGACAAUGUUUGUCACGGGUUGGAUGGGGGAAAGAACAGCAGGGAGUCUUUGUGUUGGAUGAGGAAGGGACUUAGGUUAACCUGGAUCAAGAUGUAAGGGUGAAAGCAAGAGCCUCUUAGACACAUAGAAAUGGGAAGUGAGCACCAGGAAAUGAGAGGAUCAGACUGAUGCAGAACAGUGCACAGGUCUUGGCUAUGGAGGUUCUAGAAGAGCAAGGGCCAGCUAGAAACAUUAUUUGAAUGAUCUAAAAAUGAUUCUUUUGGGUAAAGAGUGGCACAUGUUAAGACAGGGAGGGUUGCAAGGACUUGUCUUCUGAUUGGAGGCCAGCUAAGGCUCUUUCUUGACAAUGUCACGGACAGGACGGAGCAAAGGGGUGAGUUCAAAUAUGGUGUGUAUCCAUGUGUGUGCACAGCCCAGUGUGUGCAGGCUGCCAUGGUUCUAGGCAGCCACAGUCUUCUCCAUGUCUUCAGGUCUCUUCAUGCCUUGGUGCCAGGUGCGGAAGCUGGAGAGUUUCCUAUCUGCUGAGUCUUUACAGCGCCACAGAGCACAGUCUGUCAGAAGGAGAAACCGAGGCACUAUUUCCUAAGGAGCCUGGUGGGAGGAGAUGUCCUGGGCUUGCUGGGAGCCAGGCACAGGUGUCCAUAGGCUGGAUGACUCAAUCCAGUAGGUUGGUUUCUAAACUGGAAUAUUUUCCCCUUGUCUUGUAAAACAAAGAGGGUGGAUUGAACCCAGGAGAGCUGUUUGGAUGGGCAUCCAUUUUAAUCUCGGCUUUUUAGGUGCAGGGUGAGGUAGGUGCUAGGGAGAUUUGAUCUGUAGUUUUUAGUGACUGCAGCUUCUCUUCAGAUUGUUGGUACAUGGAGAGCUAGAGGGGAGAUGAGGAUUCAACAGGCUGAGAAGGGGAUCCCUAAUCCUUCACCUCUGUGAGAGAGGGGGAGUGGGGGAGAAGAGACUCAAGUCUGGGACAGGGAGGAGCUGCCUAGGCUGGGACAGGGAGGAGUGCCUAGGACAUGGAGAAGGUGCCUAGGCUGGGACCGGGAGGGCCCAGGGUGCUGGCAAGGCCCCAUGCACUCUGUAUCUAGCUAUUGUUUUGAUUGACUGACUAUCUAUCUAUCUCUCUAUCUAUCUAUCUAUCUAUCUAUCUAUCUAUCUAUCUAUCUAUCUAUCUAUCUAUCUAUCCAUCUUUGAUUUUGAGACAAGACCUUUUCAUGUAGCCCAGGUCAGUAUUGAGUUCCUGUUGACAUGGUAAGGGCACUUUUGCUAAGACAGGACAUUGUGAAACAGUCGGUGGUGGGACAACAAGAGAAGACCAUUCACUUCCACGUGGUGCUGUCCUCUCUGCAUUCCUUCUGACCCCUGUCCUUCGUUGCUGUGGGGUCUCUUAUUCUCUUUGACUGUAAGAAAAGCAGGGCAUUCAGAGUGGACACAGAUGGCAUUGGGGAGUGUGUGUGUGUGUGUGUGUGUGUGUGUGUGUGUGUGUGUCUGUGUCUGUGUCUGUGUGUGGUGUGCAUGAGAACACAUGUGGUGUGAGAAGGAUCAAAAGGGCUAGGGCUCACCAGCAGACCAGAGCACAGGAUCAGAGAGUUUCUGGGCAGGGCGGGUAGGGCAAGGUCCUGCCUGAGUCAGCCCAGAGGAUGCUCCAUCAGACUCCUGUCAGCCUGCACAGCUGGAGCAGCAAUCCUGGUGGCACUCACUGAGGAGCCAAGAGCAUCCCCAAGACUGGGUGCGCCCUUGGCAUAUGCUGGAGAGCGAUGGAAUCCACAGGUCGGGCUCUCAGAAAACAGAGAUUUCACGGACAGGGCUGUGCAGAGUGGCUGGUACCAUCUGGUACCACGUGGGGGCACUGAUACCUCACAGGAUCGGAAAUGUGCUGGAGAGCGCUUUUCAUUUUACUGUGAGAGCCAGCCACUCCUCCUGCGGCCAUCCCAAUCCUCCGUGAACCCUCCAUCGCCCGUGCCAGGUUCUUCUUCAGAAUCCUCAGCAGCCCUCUUGGUUUCCAUGACCCUGGAGCUUUUCCUUGAGUAAAACAAGUAAACCGGACCCUUUCCAAAGUGAUAUCUGAAGUUCCAGGAGACAAGCUUGGAGAAAGAAGGCCCCUAGAAUGGACGCCCUCUCUCCUCCCUCUCCAGGUCUUCCUUCUGUAAGAACCUAUAUCAGCUCCACUUCCAGUGUAUCUACUGCUACAGCAUCAUGUUCUUUCAUUGGUGGGCUGGUGUCCCACGUGUUCUGGCUGGGAAGAUUCAGUUUGUAGCCAACACUACUCAUGCUUUUUGCCAUCUCUUCACCAAGUACCCCUUUCCAAUGGACUCCAAAGCAACCAUCGUUUCUUCAUGUAUUUUGGCCUCAGCAUCCUUUUCUUCGGCUUCCACCAGCAGACAUCCCCAAGGGACCCUGGAAGAUGCCGAGAUAAAAAGUGGAACCAGGGACUGAUACUAACAGAGCUGUCCUCCUGGAGACCCUGGCAGAGGACAGCAUAGCUCUUAGCAGAUUCCUGGAACUGCAGUUGGUUGGAUGAACAAUGUCCUCCCUUCUAGACCUGAGGAGGGAUGAAAUGGAUUAUGUCUUCAUACCCACUUCUCACAUGGAUUUGUAACUAUUUGCUAACCUCCUGCUUCUACUAGACAUAGUCUUAUAAUGGAAGGGACUGUCACCUACCUCAUUUCAACAAAUGUGUCUCUAGGGCUCAGAUUCAGCAACUGGUGGUCAUGACCACUGGUAAAGGACAGGCCUGGGUGUGAAUGAAAUCAAGGAUGGCUGGCAAUCUGACUUGGAGUGGGAAAUUACUUGGUUUCUGAAGUAGUGCUGAACAGUUACCCCUUUCCCAACCCACCCCCUCCCCCCCCAUAGCUCUUGGCUUGCCACCCUCUAUAUGUGUAUCUCUGCAGUUGUAUGGUUCCAUGGUCUGUUAUUGGGGUGAGAGAAAUGGCUAUGUGCACGGAUGAGAACUGUUUUCUGUCAACAUGUGGAUCUCUCUGCUUUGUUCACUUGUCUCUUCUGUAAAUAUUCACAAAUAAAAUGAUCCAAGAUCAAUGGCUCUCCCGUCUCAGUGGAAGACACUAGAGCCCACUAAGCACUCUGAAUGUAAACUGUACAGAACUCCUCU